rnacentral:misc_RNA from 1 species
GAUGAAUAACGUAGCGAAAUGCGAUAAGUAAUGUGAAUUGCAGAAUUCAGUGAAUCAUCGAAUCUUUGAACGCACAUUGCGCCCCCUGGUAUUCCGGGGGGCAUGCCUGUCCGAGCGUCAUUACAACCCUCAAGCUCUGCUUGGUGUUGGGCCCCGCCGCCCCGGCGGGCCCUAAAGUCAGUGGCGGUGCCAUCCGGCUCCGAGCGUAGUAAUUCUUCUCGCUCUGGAGGUCCGGUUGUGUGCUUGCCAUCAACCCCCAAUUUUUUUCAGGUUGACCUCGGAUCAGGUAGGGAUACCCGCUGAACUUAAGCAUAUCAAUAAGCGGAGGA